AGUGAACGCUGGCGGCAGGCCUAACACAUGCAAGUCGAGCGGCAGCGCGUCCGACCACCCUCGGGUGGUCGGAUGGCGGCGAGCGGCGGACGGGUGAGGAAUGCAUCGGAAUCUGCCUCGUUGUGGGGGAUAACGUAGGGAAACUUACGCUAAUACCGCAUACGACCUACGGGUGAAAGUGGGGGACCUUCGGGCCUCACGCGAUGAGAUGAGCCGAUGCCGGAUUAGCUAGUUGGCGGGGUAAAGGCCCACCAAGGCGACGAUCCGUAGCUGGUCUGAGAGGAUGAUCAGCCACACUGGAACUGAGACACGGCCCAGACUCCUACGGGAGGCAGCAGUGGGGAAUUUUGGACAAUGGGCGCAAGCCUGAUCCAGCAAUGCCGCGUGCAGGACG
rnacentral:rRNA from 1 species